UGGGGAAUAUUGCACAAUGGGCGCAAGCCUGAUGCAGCCAUGCCGCGUGCAUGAAGAAGGCCUUCGGGUUGUAAAGUACUUUCAGUCGGGAGGAAGGUGUCAAGGUUAAUAACCUUGGCAAUUGACGUUACCGACAGAAGAAGCACCGGCUAACUCCGUGCCAGCAGCCGCGGUAAUACGGAGGGUGCAAGCGUUAAUCGGAAUUACUGGGCGUAAAGCGCACGCAGGCGGUUGAUUGAGUCAGAUGUGAAAUCCCCGGGCUUAACCCGGGAAUUGCAUCUGAUACUGGUCAGCUAGAGUCUUGUAGAGGGGGGUAGAAUUCCAUGUGUAGCGGUGAAAUGCGUAGAGAUGUGGAGGAAUACCGGUGGCGAAGGCGGCCCCCUGGACAAAGACUGACGCUCAGGUGCGAAAGCGUGGGGAGCAAACAGG
rnacentral:rRNA from 1 species